rnacentral:lncRNA from 1 species
CGGUUUUGACUGAGGGAUUUCUGUGAGCUGUUCCAAAGGAGACAACAUAGGUGCGUCGGUGAAGGGGAAAAGCUCAUGGAAAGGAAGAGACGGUAUACAGCAUACAGGUGUUGCAUUCUCUUGUUUUAAUUACAUAAUUAAAGGGAGGGUUCCUUUCAAAGAAAAAGUAACUUUCUCUUUCAUUUACAGGGUGUACAUUUCAUGCACCGUGGAAAGGUAAUAUAGCCAUCUAUUUUUUUUUUGUUUUUUAUUUUUUUAAUUCAGACAUCAAGUACAUCUGACAAACCCAGAAAAUCAGAACAACUUAGGUGGGUAGUAGAGAGUGCAAUUCAACAGUCAGGCAUCAUCAUCCUUUCAACUGCUGGAAGUUACUGAUCUGAAGUUUGGGUUUGUUCAAGCGUGAAGCCUGAGACCGUAUCUAAUGAACUCGAUGGAAGUCUUUCAUGGGAUUGUUAUUGCUGCUCUAUUCUGAAGAUUAAUUUCUGCAUUUAUGCUUCAGUGAUGUCACUUAACAGCCUCUUUUUCAGAGUACUGCGACAUGAGGGAUCAGUGUUUCUCUUCCCCAGAGCCUGUGUUUUGACACACGGCUUGCAAGAGCUGUCCAGUUUCCUGAGCAGAGGAGGAGAUGCCACAGCCAGCUCCCGUUUAAUGCUCCGUCUGUCUACACAGGACUUCACACCCUUUGCAGUGUUCGGGAACAGACAGCAAAAUAACUCGUGUCGUUAAGGAGCUGGUGAAAGUGUGCAUAAAACCCACACUCACUACGCUACAAAUAGGAACAGAAUUUAGCCUGAAGAACAACUGGCAUAUGUUUUGUGGAAUGCAACCUGCCUAAGUAGCCCAAGCUAAUAAUACAAUCGUAUUUUCAAAUACAUAGAGUUAGGUGUACUUUUUUGAAGGGAAAACCAAAAAGGUUUACAAUAGUCACCUGGAUCUGCUUCUCAGAGUGCUAGGCAAGAAGAAAACUCCCGUGGAAGGAUAGGUUGGCUGGGGUCAGACAGAGAUGUGACUUGAGCUAGUAUCUCCUUACCCUGUGGCAAAAGACGAAUGACAGAGCAGGACAUAAAGAGAAUGUUUCCUUACUCACAG